CCUGGAAAUAGCCUCUCAUUAGAUCGUACCCUAAACCGACACAGGUGGACUGGUAGAGAAUACCAAGGCGCUUGAGAGAACGAUGUUGAAGGAACUCGGCAAAAUACCUCCGUAAGUUCGCGAGAAGGAGGCCCAGUUUCUAGGCAACUAGUGGCUGGGGGCACAAACCAGGGGGUGGCGACUGUUUACUAAAAACACAGGGCUCUGCGAAGUCGCAAGACGACGUAUAGGGUCUGACGCCUGCCCGGUGCCUGAAGGUUAAAAGGAGGGGUGCAAGCUCCGAAUUGAAGCCCAGGUAAACGGCGGCCGUAACUAUAACGGUCCUAAGGUAGCGAAAUUCCUUGUCGGGUAAGUUCCGACCUGCACGAAUGGCGUAACGACUUCCCCGCUGUCUCCAACAUCGACUCAGCGAAAUUGAAUUACCUGUCAAGAUGCAGGUUACCCGCGGUUAGACGGAAAGACCCCGUGCACCUUUACUACAGCUUCAGACUGGUAUCAGGCCAAGCAUGUGCAGGAUAGGUGGUAGGCUUUGAAGCAGGGACGCCAGUCCCUGUGGAGCCAUCCUUGAGAUACCACCCUUGCUUCGCUUGAUAUCUAACCGCGGUCCGUCAUCCGGAUCCGGGACCCUCUGUGGCGGGUAGUUUGACUGGGGCGGUCGCCUCCUAAAGAGUAACGGAGGCGCGCGAAGGUUGGCUCAGAGCGGUCGGACAUCGCUCGUUGAGUGCAAUGGCAGAAGCCAGCCUGACUGCAAGACUGACAAGUCGAGCAGAGUCGAAAGACGGCCAUAGUGAUCCGGUGGUCCCAAGUGGGAGGGCCAUCGCUCAACGGAUAAAAGGUACGCCGGGGAUAACAGGCUGAUGAUGCCCAAGAGUCCAUAUCGACGGCAUCGUUUGGCACCUCGAUGUCGGCUCAUCUCAUCCUGGGGCUGGAGCAGGUCCCAAGGGUACGGCUGUUCGCCGUUUAAAGAGGUACGUGAGCUGGGUUUAGAACGUCGUGAGACAGUUCGGUCCCUAUCUUCCGUGGGUGUAGGAUACUUGAGAGGAGUUGCCCCUAGUACGAGAGGACCGGGGUGAACGAUCCACUGGUGGACCAGUUGUCAUGCCAAUGGCAGUGCUGGGUAGCUAUGAUCGGACAGGAUAACCGCUGAAGGCAUCUAAGCGGGAAGCCCCCCUCAAAACAAGGUAUCCCUGAGGACCGUGGUAGACCACCACGUCGAUAGGCCGGAGAUGUAAGCGCUGCAAAGCGUUCAGUUGACCGGUACUAAUUGUCCGAUAGGCUUGAU
rnacentral:rRNA from 1 species